GUGGGGAAUAUUGGGCAAUGGGCGCAAGCCUGACCCAGCCAUGCCGCGUGAGUGAUGAAGGCCUUCGGGUCGUAAAGCUCUGUGGGGAGGGACGAAACCGGCUCGGGAUAAUACCCCGGGUUCUUGACGGUACCUCCUUAGCAAGCACCGGCUAACUCCGUGCCAGCAGCCGCGGUAAUACGGAGGGUGCAAACGUUGCUCGGAAUCAUUGGGCGUAAAGCGCACGUAGGCGGUACGACAAGUCGGAUGUGAAAGCCCUCGGCUCAACUGAGGAAGUGCAUUCGAAACUGUCGAACUCGAGUAUGGAAGAGGGUCUCGGAAUUCCCGGUGUAGAGGUGAAAUUCGUAGAUAUCGGGAGGAACACCAGUGGCGAAGGCGGAGACCUGGGCCAAUACUGACGCUGAGGUGCGAAAGCGUGGGGAGCAAACAGGAUUAGAAACCCCUGUAGUCC
rnacentral:rRNA from 1 species